CCAGAUGUAUUGGGCGUAAAGAGCUCGUAGGUGGUUGGGCAAGUCGAAUGUGAAAUCUCCACGCUCAACGUGGAGGGGUCAUUCGAUACUGCUGUGACUCGAGUCCGGUAGGGGAGUGUGGAAUUCCCGGUGUAGCGGUGAAAUGCGCAGAGAUCGGGAGGAACACCGGUGGCGAAGGCGGCAUCCUGGACCGGUAUUGACACUGAGGCGCGAAAGCCAGGGGAGCAAACGGG
rnacentral:rRNA from 1 species